AGAUGAAGAUGAUGAAAAGAAUAAUUAAAAAUGUCUGAUCAUCAAAUAUUGUGUUUGAUAUGAUCGAAUUAAUUAUCGCUACGUUCUUUCUGAUUCAUUU